rnacentral:rRNA from 1 species
AUUGAACGCUGGCGGCAUGCUUUACACAUGCAAGUCGAACGGUAACAGGCCUUCGGGUGCUGACGAGUGGCGAACGGGUGAGUAAUGCAUCGGAACGUACCCAGAGGUGGGGGAUAACGCAGCGAAAGCUGUGCUAAUACCGCAUGUGAUCUGAGGAUGAAAGCGGGGGACCGAGCAGCAAUGUUUGGCCUCGCGCCUUUGGAGCGGCCGAUGUCGGAUUAGCUAGUUGGUGGGGUAAAGGCCUACCAAGGCGACGAUCCGUAGCUGGUCUGAGAGGACGACCAGCCACACUGGGACUGGGACACGGCCCAGACUCCUACGGGAGGCAGCAGUGGGGAAUUUUGGACAAUGGGCGCAAGCCUGAUCCAGCAAUGCCGCGUGCGGGAAGAAGGCCUUCGGGUUGUAAACCGCUUUUGGCAGGAACGAAACGGUAUCCGCUAAUACCGGGCGCUAAUGACGGUACCUGCAGAAUAAGCACCGGCUAACUACGUG